GAAUGCUGACAUAAGUAACGAUAAAGCGGGUGAAAAGCCCGCUCGCCGGAAGACCAAGGGUUCCUGUCCAACGUUAAUCGGGGCAGGGUGAGUCGACCCCUAAGGCGAGGCCGAAAGGCGUAGUCGAUGGGAAACGGGUUAAUAUUCCCGUACUUGGUGUUACUGCGAAGGGGGGACGGAGAAGGCUAUGUUGGCCGGGCGACGGUUGUCCCGGUUUAAGCGUGUAGGUGUGUGUUCCAGGUAAAUCCGGUUCACUUUAACACUGAGGCGUGACGACGAGGCACUACGGUGCUGAAGCAACAAAUGCCCUGCUUCCAGGAAAAGCCUCUAAGCAUCAGGUAACACGAAAUCGUACCCCAAACCGACACAGGUGGUCAGGUAGAGAAUACCAAGGCGCUUGAGAGAACUCGGGUGAAGGAACUAGGCAAAAUGGUGCCGUAACUUCGGGAGAAGGCACGCUGACACGUAGGUGAAGUGAUUUACUCAUGGAGCUGAAGUCAGUCGAAGAUACCAGCUGGCUGCAACUGUUUAUUAAAAACACAGCACUGUGCAAACACGAAAGUGGACGUAUACGGUGUGACGCCUGCCCGGUGCCGGAAGGUUAAUUGAUGGGGUCAGCGUAAGCGAAGCUCCUGAUCGAAGCCCCGGUAAACGGCGGCCGUAACUAUAACGGUCCUAAGGUAGCGAAAUUCCUUGUCGGGUAAGUUCCGACCUGCACGAAUGGCGUAAUGAUGGCCAGGCUGUCUCCACCCGAGACUCAGUGAAAUUGAACUCGCUGUGAAGAUGCAGUGUACCCGCGGCAAGACGGAAAGACCCCGUGAACCUUUACUAUAGCUUGACACUGAACAUUGAGCCUUGAUGUGUAGGAUAGGUGGGAGGCUUUGAAGUGUGGACGCCAGUCUGCAUGGAGCCGACCUUGAAAUACCACCCUUUAAUGUUUGAUGUUCUAACGUGGACCCGUAA
rnacentral:rRNA from 2 species